rnacentral:rRNA from 1 species
CCUACGGGAGGCUGCAGUGGGGAAUAUUGGACAAUGGGGGGAACCCUGAUCCAGCCAUGCCGCGUGUGUGAAGAAGGCCCUCGGGUUGUAAAGCACUUUCAGUGAGGAAGAACGCCUGGUGGUUAAUACCCAUCAGGAAAGACAUCACUCACAGAAGAAGCACCGGCUAACUCCGUGCCAGCAGCCGCGGUAAUACGGAGGGGGCGAGCGUUAAUCGGAAUUACUGGGCGUAAAGCGCGCGUAGGUGGCUUGAUAAGCCGGUUGUGAAAGCCCCGGGCUCAACCUGGGAACGGCAUCCGGAACUGUGAAGCUAGAGUGCAGGAGAGGAACGUAGAAUUCCCGGUGUAGCGGUGAAAUGCGUAGAGAUAGGGAGGAAUACCAGUGGCGAAGGCGGCCUUCUGGACUGACACUGACACUGAGGUGCGAAAGCGUGGGUAGCAAACAGGAUUAGAUACCCGGGUAGUC